ensembl:lncRNA
GGGUUCGAGACCAGUCUGGGUCACAUAGUGAGACUUCGUCUAUAUUAAAGAUAAAAAUUAAAAGAGUAGCUGGGCGUGGUGACACACAUUUGUUUUCACAGCUACUUGGGAGGGUGAGGCUGGAGAAUCGCUUUGGAAGAGGGAAGCCAGGUGAAUCAAAAGAAGAAAGAAAGAGGUGCCUGCAUUUUGCUGUCAAGACGCUCUCACCGAGGCUCAGGUUCUUCAUGUUCCGCUCCUAUUUUAGGCUUGGGACUGUAUAGCUGCUUAGUCCUGGGAAGGACUUAGGGGCUGACUGGUCCAGCCACACCAUUUCAUGAUGGCUCAGAAAAGGAAGGUAACUUGCCCAGUGUUACACAGACAGCUAGUGACAAAGUCCAGACUAAAACCUUCAUUUCCUCACUCCCAUUGCAGUGUUAUUUCCGUCUCUUCAUAUGGCUUCAAAAGUGCAUGUUUCCCAGAUCCCUCCUGUAAGACUUUGUCCCUGGACCCAGAGCUGUAGGCCCUUUGGACAGAAGCCAGCGCCUCAAGGAGAGGCAGGAGAGAAGCACCUGGGGAGGCUGGGGGAUGGGCCUGCCCUGGGAGUUAAUUUUAUUCACUUCAGUGGGACCAAAUGGAAUCGGAGCAUUAACGUGGUGAGUGUGCCUCAGAGCUGUCUAAACCAGCCGUGAAUACUAACCAGGGAGCUUAGAGGGAGCUAAAAAUAACUGGCUAAUCACCACCAGGAAGAAUUAACAAGGACUCUGAAGAAAGGAAAAUGUCUUAAUAUUCCAUCUCUCUGGCAGCUGGGCUCCAGCUGGGACUGAAGUCUCCUCCUGGCUUCCAUAGGUAGGGAUGGGGUUUUGCCAUGUUAUCCAGGCUGGUCUUGAACUCCUGACCUCAAGUGAUCCACCUGCCUCAGCCUCCCAAAAUGCUGAGAUUACAAAUGUGAGCCAUUGCACCUGGCCAGGACCUAAAUGCAGUCUUGAAGACGGGAAGUACAGCUGCUUGGAGCCUAUGGAUGAAGAUAAGAGAAAAAGGUUAAGAAGGGACCUCUUGCCUGAUUUCAUCCAUCGAACACGAUGUGUCCCUGUGCUGUGUGCUUCGUUCACUUUUCUUCCUUCUCUAUUGUCUUUGGACCAUCUCCUUAACCUUGUGGUUUUAACUGUUACUUCUGGCUCCAGAAUCCACAUCUGCCGAACUCAUUCGCCUGCUGAACUCAUACAGAAAGAUGGGUCUCCAGAAAGAAAUCUGUAUUCGUUUCCUGCAGCUGCCGGAACAAAUGGCCACAAAUGGGGUGGCCUCAGACAACCGAAAUUUGUUCUUCCACAGUUCUGGAGGGCAGAUGUCUGAGCCCCAGGUGUCAGCGGCACUGCAUGUCCUUUGGAGGCAUCUGGGGAGAAUGCUUCCUUCUCCAUCCAGCCUCAGGUGGCUGCCCGCCAUCCUUGGCUUCUCCAGCUGUGGCUGCACCAUUCUGACCUCUGCUUCCAUUUUCACGCGGCCCUCUCCUCUGUGUGUCUCAAGUCUUCCUCUAUGUGUCUUUUGUAAAGGCAUCCAUUACUGGAUUUAGAACCCACCCAGAUAAUCCAGGAUGGUCUUUUCAUGUCAAGACUUCUAAUUAUAUAUGCAAAGCCCUUUUUUCCAAAUAAGGUAAGUUUCAUAGGUUCUGGGCAUUAGGACUUGGAUAAACUUUUAGGAGACCGCCAUUCAACUCACUACAAAUUCAUUGCCUUCCCUUAAAAUCUACUUCUCAUCUCCACUAAAGCCACUGUCCUCUCCCUUUGGUGAGUUGGGCCACAUACUCCAAAAGCAUCUGAGACUCUGUCUCUCUUAUUUCCCACUCCAAUGGGCUGCCCAAUAGUGAUGAUUUUUUUUUAACCCUGUGUCUCAAACUUGUGCCUCCUUGCCACCUGGCCCGGUCCACACCCUCCCCAUGUCUGACCACCAGAAACACAUCCCGGCAACGCUCCCUGCAUCUGGUUUGACCACGUGAAGGUCCCUCCUCCACUGCAACCAAGUAAUAUCACAAGUGUCUCUACUUGACACCCUUCAUGUGUUCCUAUCUCUUCUCCUGGCUGAAAGGGGCUUCUAGAACGUUCUGCUAGUGCUGCGUUGGAUUCGUGCUCUGUAACACUGCACAUAUCACUUCAGGAUUGCUCGCGGUGGCUCCUUUCAUAAGCCACGUGGUUUCCUGUCUCUGCGCUUCUGCUUAUGUUGCUGCCUUUUUCUGGAAUUUUCUCACACCUUAUUCAUGGCAUCACCUUCCUUUAACUCUCAGGAGGAGGGUCCUCUCCUGGCACCCAAGAUCUGUGGACAUUUCUGUCAUUACAACCUACCUGUUGCACCCAGAGUAUUUGUUUAUAUGUAUCUUCCCAAACAAAUUCUAUCUCAUUCCCCUUUGUAACCCCAGUCCUCAGUCCAGGGCCUUGUAUAGUAGU